CAAAAGGAGAUGCCAGGCAGGUCCUGUGGUGGUGGGAGGGAGGGAUCCUGGUGAGGCAGAGGGAGAACAGUGGGAAAGGAGGCAUGCAGGGCCCCAGGGUGCAGGAGACUAGGAAGACCCUGAGCAAGAAUGGUAUGGGAACCUGCAAUCAGUGGGAGUCCCUCAUUUACUCACUGAAACGUACUUUCCCUCCUUCUCAGAAGAGGCUCAGAAGUGGUGCUAGCAGUUCAGAACUGUCCAGCUGCCAUGCCUUUUCCACUGGAAACUUUUCCCAGUUUCCUGGGACCGUCCUCUGUCUCCCUUUUCCCUCUCUGGCACAUAGUCUUUGCAUUGUUAAAUAUUGAGGCAUUGUCAUUCCGCAAGGUUCUCUGCCACUUUAAUUUCUUUGGCCUUAUGUGUUGUUUUCUCUUCAGUGCUUGCUUUCAACCUCUUGGGACCCAGGGGGAGAGAGGAGUGGGGGGAGACUGAUGUAAAUUAACUAUCAUCUACUGUAAAUCAGUGUAAUUCCACUGACUACAAUGAAGCUGCACUGAAUUACUGUAGCUGAAAACCUGCUUUGUCACGUCUCCUUCUUCUGUGUAUUUUAUAUUGCCUGUUGUGGAAAAAAAAACCCAACAGAAAAGCACUCCACCAAAACUCAAGUUCUUUCUGUUUUGCUCUCCUAAGAGGUGCAGCUGUAUGCUAAUAGUCUACUUCUCUAGCGGGAAAUAGAAAGGGCUAUAGCAUGCUUUGAUAAACCGGGAAGCAGACUCUGACGCUAGUGUGCAAGGAGAGAAACAUACGGAGCUUUUUUCCCCCUCUUCUCUCCCUCACAUCAAUUUCACACUCUUUUAGUUCUGUUGACCUCCAUGGAGUCCCUCCUAAUUUACAGCGCCAUAAACAAAAUCAGAACGAUGCCCUCUGAAAUGUGCAGAAUUCUUUUCGGCUUGCACUGAAGAACACGGCGUAUUCCAGGGAUUUGCAAAGGCAUCUCUCUACUUGUGCUGAGGAAGAUUUUUUCCUGGCCACCUCACAUGCCUGUGGUGACUUCCCUUGAAGAGGGCUCUCUGAGCAGGACACCUCUCUCACCGGAGGCACCCUGCCAGGAAAGCUCCAGGUGAAACUGAUACCAUCUUGGGACAGUGGUGAUCCCUAAAUAAGGGGAUCACACUAGUAAUCCUAACAAACGCAUUUACCACUUGAGUUGUUAGAUUGUGAAAGGGUGGUAAUUAAAAAAGGAAAUGUUUCGGUAAGUAGGCUUAGACUUCUUUAAAAGGUCUUUGCUUCCCCUUCUUCCAAGUUGUGCAUGUGGAAAAUUUUGCUGCCCUCUCCCUGUCUCUGCACCUCUAUAGCAAUAUUCAUUUGGGACAGGGAAGACACGCUGCUGUCAAACUGCUCACUCUAAUUUCAUUUCCCAGCACGUGGAGUCUUCCUUUGUGAGAGUGACACCAAGACUGCUGCUGAUGUUAUGGGGUACUUCACUCCAACAGCUGAGAAACAGGCUGCGUGCACUUUGACAGCCAGUUGACAGCAGCAUAAGAGUGGCUGUGCGGUCUGCUCGAGGAGAGGACUGAUCCGGUUGAAAAGCCAUCACCAUUUUUUUGGUAGAAGUAGUGUCGGGCUGGAUUACCUCCUUGCUCCAGGUGACCUUUCUGCCACAUGCACUAGCGGAAGGGAGGCAACACAGGCACUGGGCUAAGGGCAGGACCCUCCACCUCUUUUGGUGGCUGUCUGCAUUUUAGGUCAGCUUAGUCUAAGAGCCAAAAUAUGCUGUGAGGAGAAAGCGGUUAAAGAUUCGACAAAAUUUGGUCAAUGCUUUGACUGAAGGCUGAAGAACCUGACAGCAUGAUGCUUCUUAGACCUCUGAAAGUCCUGCUGGCAUGGCAGUGGGUUGGACCAUCCUGACACUUGGGUAAAAAAAGACCCAACCCACAAGAAAAGGAAAGGCUCUUUCAUGUCUCUAACCUGCAGCAAAAAUGGGCAAGAAAAUCCAUUUCUCUCCUGUAAGUAUAUCUCUAUAUAUUUGCUUCAAAAUUCAAAUUCUCAUCCAAAAGCUCAUCAUAGGGCGGUGCUGGUUGGGAGUCCUCCUGCCUUCUGCCCAAGACCUCCAUGUUGCACUUGAAGAGUAGUCUGCCUUUCCAACUCGUCUGUGCUCAGCCUGCUCCCCGGCCCUGCAUGGUGAACUGCAGUUCAGGUCUGCCGGGUUGGAGCUGGCGGGAUGCAUCCGCCACACCUGCCUCGCAGCAGCAGUGGAGCAUCUGGAUGAAAGAUGAGUUUCAGAUUUCACAGGCGUUCUUGGGCCCAAGAUAAAGUGGCACAGCCAUCCAUCAUAUGGAUGAGUGCAGACUGAGCAAAGAAAGACCUGGACCAAAACAGUUUUCUAGGUGUUUAGUGAGGAGGUAAAAGUCGUUCUCUCUCUGUAGGGCAGAGGAGCUCAUGGAUGCGAUUACCAGUGGUGGGUGCGUGGCAGCAUGUAAGCCCAGUCUGGGCAGGCAGGCAUGCUGCAGUGUGGAAGAGGAUCAGCCUGCUAGUGAGCCUGCAGGUUGCAUCCCAGGAUGUGCAAGUGGCCAUUGAGGUGCCUGGUGGAGCACUCACCCAUGUACCUACAUGAUGUGAAAGAGGUAUCGCUUUGUUUUGUGUGUGCACACCUCCAUCUGGAAAUAGAAGCCAAGAGGAAAAAAAAAAAGGAAGAAAUAAAGUGUUAUGAGGUUUCUGGUUAGUCUGGCCCAGCACUGAAUUUAAAAGCAUGGUGAAAUAUUCAUUAUUUGUGGGCAGUAAUAGUUAUAUCAUGCAUUAACAGGGAAAAGAGGAAAAAAGUUACUCUUGGACACUGUUGAAAACAGGCUGACAUCCCUAUGAUAUUGUCUGUGGGUCUUGCAUCUCCCAGGUGCUGUUCGUCCACUGCAAUGAUUCCCAUGGAGCUGGAUUCCCUUUGGAGCCAGGCCAAUUCAUACCAAGUUCUUCUUACCGCUCCUGUAACUUGCAGAUCUAAGGCUUCAUUUAUAGCGAACGUGCCACAUGAAAGGCAGCGUGUCAGUGGUGGUGGUUGUUCUUUUGGCUCCGAUGACGGAGAUUACUUUGCUACUGGGGAAGUUCAAGGGCAGUUGCUCACACUCGCUUGCACGGCCUGGGCUGACCCAGGGCAGACCCACUUCGUAUCUCUGAAGCUAUGGCAGAUGCUCCUUGCUCUGGAGUUCAUUCAUGCUUUGCAAAAAGGCC